rnacentral:lncRNA from 1 species
UUUGGAUAAUGAUUUUCAUGCCUAAAAAAUGGUUAGUGUAAAAUAAAAAAAGAUUGAAGGAAAAUAGGGGAAAAAAGAUGAAAAAGAUAAAACCUUUUACCUAGUUUGCUUCGGUCUCUGCUAUCACACAGCGUCUCGGCCCGAUUUCUCUUCCUUCUUCUUCCUCUCAGCUUCGGCUUUCACCACUCUCCCGCCUCCACCACUUUUUUCUUUUUUUUUCCCUUGCGGCGGUCGUUCUCCGCUCCCCCUUAAUUCUCCCACUUGGCUACUCUUCUCCUCAUCUCAUUUCUUCUUCUUUGACCUCCCUCUUCCUUUCCUUUCUUUCUCUAUUCCUCUUGGCUCCCCCACUUGACAGAUAUCUUCUCUUUUGUCUCACCCGAUCGGCUCCUCUCUCAUCCUCUCUCUCUUUUUCAGCUUCUCUCCCAAAUGAAAAAACCCUAAUCUUUUUCCCUUUUAUA